AGCAGCCGCGGUAAUUCCAGCUCCAAUAGCGUAUAUUAAAGUUGUUGCAGUUAAAAAGCUCGUAGUUGAAUUUCGGGAUCGAUACGUCGGUCGUGCCUCGGUACGUACUGGCAUUGUUGGUUUCUACCUUCUGACGAACCAUGAUGUCAUUUAUUUGGUGUCGUGGGGAAUCAGGACUGUUACUUUGGAAAAAUUAGAGUGUUUAAAGCAGGCUCACGCUUGAAUACAUUAGCAUGGAAUAAUGAAAUAGGACGUUUGAUUCUAUUUUGUUGGUUUCUAGGAUCGACGUAAUGAUUAAUAGGGAUAGUUGGGGGCAUUAGUAUUCAAUUGUCAGAGGUGAAAUUCUUGGAUUUAUUGAAGACUAACUACUGCGAAAGCAUUUGCCAAGGAUGUUUUCAUUAAUCAAGAACGAAAGUUAGGGGAUCGAAGACGAUCAGAUACCGUCGUAGUCUUAACCAUAAACUAUGCCGACUAGGGAUCGGAUGAUGUUAAUUUUUAAUGACUCAUUCGGCGCCUUAAC
rnacentral:rRNA from 1 species